rnacentral:rRNA from 1 species
CUGAUGUUAGCGGCGGACGGGUGAGUAACACGUGGGUAACCUGCCUGUAAGACUGGGAUAACUCCGGGAAACCGGGGCUAAUACCGGAUGCUUGUUUGAACCGCAUGGUUCAAACAUAAAAGGUGGCUUCGGCUACCACUUACAGAUGGACCCGCGGCGCAUUAGCUAGUUGGUGAGGUAAUGGCUCACCAAGGCAACGAUGCGUAGCCGACCUGAGAGGGUGAUCGGCCACACUGGGACUGAGACACGGCCCAGACUCCUACGGGAGGCAGCAGUAGGGAAUCUUCCGCAAUGGACGAAAGUCUGACGGAGCAACGCCGCGUGAGUGAUGAAGGUUUUCGGAUCGUAAAGCUCUGUUGUUAGGGAAGAACAAGUACCGUUCGAAUAGGGCGGUACCUUGACGGUACCUAACCAGAAAGCCACGGCUAACUACGUGCCAGCAGCCGCGGUAAUACGUAGGUGGCAAGCGUUGUCCGGAAUUAUUGGGCGUAAAGGGCUCGCAGGCGGUUCCUUAAGUCUGAUGUGAAAGCCCCCGGCUCAACCGGGGAGGGUCAUUGGAAACUGGGGAACUUGAGUGCAGAAGAGGAGAGUGGAAUUCCACGUGUAGCGGUGAAAUGCGUAGAGAUGUGGAGGAACACCAGUGGCGAAGGCGACUCUCUGGUCUGUAACUGACGCUGAGGAGCGAAAGCGUGGGGAGCGAACAGGAUUAGAUACCCUGGUAGUCCACGCCGUAAACGAUGAGUGCUAAGUGUUAGGGGGUUUCCGCCCCUUAGUGCUGCAGCUAACGCAUUAAGCACUCCGCCUGGGGAGUACGGUCGCAAGACUGAAACUCAAAGGAAUUGACGGGGGC